CCUACGGGGUGCUGCAGUGGGGAAUAUUGCACAAUGGGCGCAAGCCUGAUGCAGCCACGCCGCGUGUGUGAAGAAGGCCUUCGGGUUGUAAAGCACUUUCAGCGGGGAGGAAGGCGUUAAGGUUAAUAACCUUGUCGAUUGACGUUACCCGCAGAAGAAGCACCGGCUAACUCCGUGCCAGCAGCCGCGGUAAUACGGAGGGUGCAAGCGUUAAUCGGAAUUGCUGGGCGUAAAGCGCACGCAGGCGGUCUGUCAAGUCGGAUGUGAAAUCCCCGGGCUCAACCUGGGAACUGCAUUCGAAACUGGCAGGCUAGAGUCUUGUAGAGGGGGGUAGAAUUCCAGGUGUAGCGGUGAAAUGCGUAGAGAUCUGGAGGAAUACCGGUGGCGAAGGCGGCCCCCUGGACAAAGACUGACGCUCAGGUGCGAAAGCGUGGGGAGCAAACAGGAUUAGAUACCCUAGUAGUC
rnacentral:rRNA from 1 species